GGAAGUAAAAAGUCGUAACAAGGUCUCCGUUGGUGAACCAGCGGAGGGAUCAUUAC
rnacentral:rRNA from 1 species